UGCCAGCAGCCGCGGUAAUACGGAGGGUGCAAGCGUUAUCCGGAAUCAUUGGGUUUAAAGGGUCCGUAGGCGGGCUUGUAAGUCAGCGGUGAAAGUCUGCAGCUUAACUGUAGAAUUGCCAUUGAUACUGCAAGUCUUGAAUUAUUGUGAAGUGGUUAGAAUAUGUAGUGUAGCGGUGAAAUGCUUAGAGAUUACAUAGAAUACCGAUUGCGAAGGCAGAUCACUAACAAUAUAUUGACGCUGAUGGACGAAAGCGUAGGUAGCGAACAGGAUUAGAUA
rnacentral:rRNA from 1 species